CGCUGUAGUACGAGUCCGCCUUCUCUUCGCCGGCGCCAAAGUCCGGCUCCAAGUCCGAGCGGGACGAGGAACUUGCCGACUCAAUGUUCACAAAUAACGAGGUAACUGCAGCUCAAGUAAACUGGAAGACUUUAACUGGCACGAGUUGGAGAAAAAGGGGAAAAUUUUUGAUGGAAAAGUGUCGAUGCGACUGUUCUCAAGAAAGAAAGAAGCGAACAGAACGAGCGAGAACGUGGCGUUCAGAGGAAGAGAGGGCCGUGAGAGGGCUGUGCCACGAAGGUGCAACUCCGACAGUGUUCGAUGGACAACUGGAGGCGGGGUGUAUGCUGCCUCAUUGGACUGGAGAACCAGCCCCCUGGCUGCAACAUCCCCUACCCUCCCCCUCCGCUUUCCAGGAGAGCCAUCGUGUCUCAAGGCCAAACAGCCACCCUCUAGUACUAGAGAGAGCUUGUCUAUAGCUCGCCAAAUCGCUCGCCAGCUAUAACACACUGGAUUCGCCGCGCGUUGGAAUUUUUCAAAAUUUCCUUUCACCCUCCGAUGAAAAAUGAUCACUUCACGCCAACUUUCUCGAUCGAAGGCCAACUCUCCGAUCGUUUUCAAGCAAGCUAGUGGUUAGCUUAAUUUUCCAUUCGAGAAGAUUACGAAAUUUUUACGUCGCUCUACCGUAUGCAUAGUUUUAUCCGUAUCGCGUAUCGGCCUAAAGGUAAUAUACCCAAAGUACAGCCCCGACGUAAUUCUUCGACGGCACGAUGGUUAAAUCACGAUGGACGGGGUGAGAGAUUUCAUGUUUUAAAUGGAAGCUUGACGGACACCUGUUAAUAAGGAUACACGCUCGCAAAUGAGGGCUCGCGAUAGGAAACGAGGUUGAAAGCAUUCCUUGGAAUUAAGCACGAAGCCCACGCCCUGACGUGGAGCAAGGUCCAGAAUGGGGAGAGAAAAAAAAAAAAGGAGUAGCAUUGUGUCGGGGCCAAUUAUCUUGGUUGACUAAAUAAGGUCAAUAUUCAAAGUGAGCUAGAGAGGCGAGGGGAGGAGUAGGAGGAAGAAGAAGAAAAUGAAGAAAAAAAGAACGUUAACGACGCUAACAGUCUAAUAAACCGACUUAUGAAUUCGAGACACGCACGCUGCCUGCCGGCAGAAUGCCAGAGAUUCGAUGACCUUGCAAUCGAAUAUACAUCGUUGUACUGGAGAUGUUUCCAAAUUUGUCAAGCCAACGAAAAUUUCACAAAACUCCGCAACUGUGCGUCAUUGCAAGGUAUUUCGCCUCGCGUUAAAUCGUUUUCCAACGACAAUUGUAGAAACAGGUAACCCAGGUGAAAUUCAUCAUCGAAAAAGAUAAGAGCUCGAUCGACCAAUAGUUGAAUUCUACGUUCAUCCUCGUGCAGUUACAAUGCAAUGCCAGCUUUGAUGGGAUUGGUAUGAUAAUGGAAGCAUAGAUUAACACAGGGUGAAGGUCAAAGCGACCCUCUCAUUCCCUCGCACAGCGUUCGAGACCGGUGCAACCCUUCCGGGUUUUUCAACGAAGAGGGUUUUGCACGCCGAGAAAAAGACGUAUGCACUUGUUCAAAGACGUCACAUCGCGGGCGAUCGAAGACAGUUCAAGUUUAAAUUACUCUUGCAGAGAUAUAACAAGUACUCACGGCGACGUAACUGAUUGCGAGUGAGAGACGUUUAAUGGACUCGGGACACGGGAGCUUUGCAGGCAGAGGAACAUCUGGACAGUGGGAAAAGUAUGCGGUGUUUUUCUUGCACUUUGUGAGAACUGGCAGCGAUAGCUUGAAUCGAGAAGGAUCGAUUGGAAGUGGGUGGAUCCCGAGGAAAUGCAUUUCUACAAUGGAAUGGCUAAUUGCGUUGCGAUUGAACCACGUGUAACAAUAGUACAAUUUAUGUAAGUUUCCACUACAGUGUAACAAACGCCACAUGAAUUUCAGCGCCAGCAAUGAAAUCUCUCACGUGCUGGACUCUUAACGAGCUUCAUGAAUUCCUGUCCAAGGCCUCUUUAUUAUUACUAUUUGGAAGGCCUGUCGUUCCAAGUGCAAGCAGCUGCAUGUGUAACUAUGUGGUUCUGCAAGAGGAGAGAGAUGGUUCCUUGCAUCACCAUCGAAGCUUUCGUUCACGACUCAACUUUGUUUCCACGAUCUGAUCAACACCGAACGAAGAGAUCUACAAUCUCUCUCUCUCAAUCGGAAUGAUCACGAACGGUCUCGUAAGGUCCGUUGCUUGCAAAAGUGUCUAUUAAUAAAUCGUUGGACUAAAAAUACAGCCUUUCAUCGACAUCGUGGAAAGCACAACGUCGUAGAAAGAUCUUAAUCCUGGUAAUUACAAGUGUUUGCCGCUAACAUUGAAACGAAAGUUCACAUAAAUAUUGCGUGCUCCGGCUUUCGAACAGCUACGUCGAACUCGACUCGGAGUGGAAUUGAAACGAUUACGACAUACAGGGUGGAUAGAAAGAAGGAGUUCGUAACUUACAAAAUAGAUAAACAUGUAUGGGCGAACAUUCUUCAACGUCGAAUAAAUAUUAUUUCGAUCGCUGGAGGAAAAAAGAACGAACGUGGCUCGAAGUGGAAGGAAAAACGAAAGAAAGAAACAGGAGUCCAUUCACGAGGGAGUUCUAGCUGGUUCGCAUCAUAAUUUACGACGCCGUUCCCAUAAAUUACGAUUCGCGAGCAUGUGUGAGUCGCUACAUACGUUUGUCUGCAAGGCCAAGGCCACGGUGCAACAAUCUUCCAGCUGUUGGGUACGCGAUGCCGAUCGAAUGGAAGGUGCAAACGAAAGUACGCGUGGGUGCACCUCCUCUGGGUUCACCAUGGGUGCUACAACCCUUAACCUUUUCACGCAUUUAACCGGUCGUCUACCCCCCUCGUUUGUUGAUUCAUCUUCCUUGGCACGGUGUGCGAGAACAAACUUUCUCGAUGCAUCAUCGUUUAGUGGCUGCCCGUUGUCCCGCCAGUUUCAGCGAAAAUGAAAUCUAGCACUUUCCAACUGCCCAUGGACUGUACUACCAGGAUUCUGAUAAGAAUAUCAGCCACCAAAGGGGUUCAGACUUCAGUGGUCUCGCUUCUCCAAAUCGAAACGUUGCUCUCACAACACACAACAGGGUGAAUAUCCGUGUUGGCCGUUUACCUUGAUGAUAAGAGAGCGGAGACCGUCGAAAGGUCGCCUCACUGUACUUCAACCCUUAACCUUUUGACCAACCAGCCAGGUCAUUGGCUAGAAAUUAUCAUUUGCAACGCCGAGCCGAUCAGAACAACGACUAUCAUUCGGACGAAGAGGAACGUAGAUUAGAAAGCUAUUUAUUUUAUAUACAUAUAUACAUAU